UACGGGAGGCAGCGGUGGGGAAUAUUGCACAAUGGGCGAAAGCCUGAUGCAGCUAUGCCGCGUGUAUGAAGAAGGCCUUAGGGUUGUAAAGUACUUUCAUCGGGGAGGAAAAAACAAAACUAAUAAUUUUAUUUCUUGACGUUACCCGAAAAAGAAGCACCGGCUAACUCCGUGCCAGCAGCCGCGGUAAUACGGAGGGUGCUAGCGUUAAUCAGAAUUACUGGGCGUAAAGAGCACGUAGGUGGUUUUUUUAAAGUCAGAUGUGAAAUCCCUGGGCUUAACCUAGGAACUGCAUUUUGAAACUGAAAUACUAGAGUAUCGUAGAGGGAGGUAGAAUUCUAGGUGUAGCGGUGAAAUGCGUAGAUAUCUGGAGGAAUACCUGUGGCGAAAGCGGCCUCCUAAACGAAUACUGACACUGAGGGUGCGAAAGCGUGGGGAGCAAACAGGGAUUAGAUACC
rnacentral:rRNA from 1 species